rnacentral:rRNA from 1 species
AGUAAACAGUACGUGAAGCCGCAUGCAGGUAAACGGGUGGCGUCAAGCUGCGAGCUCGGAGAAUUCAGCUGACUGGGAUGUAGUGAACGUGCCUGGUGCGUCCAGUGGCCGGAGUAAGGUGUGGUGGUCCACUCCUCCGUUGGGAGUGGGGUGGUGCGGCGUGAAAGCGCCAAGCUGCUAUGCGUGCCGGUUGUGUACGGUGCAUACCACUCAUCCGAGGGCCGACCAGUCAGUGCACUUUCUCUGUGGCGAACACCACGACCGGUGGAAUUGCCAGUCUGCUAUGGUCAAGUCGUGUCUACCUGGUGUCUCCAGCGUCUUUGGGCGUGACGAGCCUAGGCGGGUGCGAUCGCGGGUGAGUGUCGUCGACGGCAUAGUGGUGCUUCGGUAUUACUGUGUGUUAUCGUAUACGCCUCGCCUUAACGCUCUACCCGGUGUGUUGUGACCGCAUCGGGCUAGGUGGCAGAUCAUGGUGGUGAAAGUAACUGUGCAAGGCAUCGGAGUUGGCCACUUCUACUUAUAGUGCUCAGCACACGCGUUGCAAGCGUUGUUCUGGGGUGUGCGCCUGUCUGCGUGAGUUGGACUUGGCUGUCGUGUCGCCUGCGCAAAGUGGGUCCGGCGGUGGUCUUCAGCUUGCUGUGGCCAGGGCAGUGCAUCUUGGGGUGCUUGUGGCACUGGGAGUGUC